AGUCCAGACAUCGAAAGACCGUAUUUUUUCAGUUUGUUUGGACGAUUUAACCGAUUCUUACUUGUGUAAAAGUGUAAUAACAUGUUUUCCUGUUAAAUUUGCUCUGUUUGAUUGGAUAAUUCCACAGGAACCGUCUACCGCGGACUUGAAUAGAUGAUGUGCGAGAACAUAGAAUGGAUUUGCCUGCACUCAUGCGUCAUCACAGUAUAAAGGAUUUUAAUCUAAAAAGACAACCCUGCUCAUUUCAGCUGUACAGAUUGCAGUUAAUCUCAUAUGCUGUUAGACUAAAUUAUGAACGAUAAUCAAACCAGUUUCAAAGAGUCCUAAGUCUGAAAUCAGGGUGCUUUUAUUAAGGAGAUCAUU